UGUCCACUGGCCAUGAAUGCUGCAAACUCAGCAAUCAGUUUGUUGUCCUGUUGUUUUGCUUGACUUGCUGCCAGAAAUGAUCCAGAAUCAGAGAUGUAGUUUGUGUUUGCAUACACUUCCCUUUGACUCUCAUCCUGCAAAAGCAAUGAAUAUGCAACAUCCAUUCCAGAUUCCAGUUCUGGAGCCCUGCAGGUUCCAUUGAUGAAACCAAGUUUCUUCUUGGCUGAUAAGGAUAGGAGGAUGGAUCUCCUCCAACCUGGAUAUCCUCUUCCGUCGAAAACAUUGUUGACCAAAGUCAUACCAGGCAUUUUGUUUCAACAGGG